rnacentral:rRNA from 1 species
UACGUAGGGUCCAAGCGUUGUCCGGAUUUAUUGGGCGUAAAGAGCUCGUAGGCGGUUCCGUAAGUCGGAUGUGAAAACUCAGGGCUCAACCCGGAGACGCCAUCUGAUACUGCGGUGACUGGAGUCUGGUAGGGGAACACGGAAUUCCUGGUGUAGCGGUGAAAUGCGUAGAUAUGUGGAGGAACACCGAUGGCGAAGGCAGGUCUCUGGGCCGAUACUGACGCUGAGGAGCGAAAGCGUGGGGAGCGAACAGG